UGGGGAAUAUUGCACAAUGGGCGCAAGCCUGAUGCAGCCAUGCCGCGUGUGUGAAGAAGGCCUUCGGGUUGUAAAGCACUUUCAGCGAGGAGGAAGGUGGUGAGCUUAAUACGCUCAUCAAUUGACGUUACUCGCAGAAGAAGCACCGGCUAACUCCGUGCCAGCAGCCGCGGUAAUACGGAGGGUGCAAGCGUUAAUCGGAAUUACUGGGCGUAAAGCGCACGCAGGCGGUUUGUUAAGUCAGAUGUGAAAAUCCCCGGGCUCAACCUGGGAACUGCAUUUGAAACUGGCAAGCUAGAGUCUCGUAGAGGGGGGUAGAAUUCCAGGUGUAGCGGUGAAAUGCGUAGAGAUCUGGAGGAAUACCGGUGGCGAAGGCGGCCCCCUGGACGAAGACUGACGCUCAGGUGCGAAAAGCGUGGGGAGCAAACAGAUUAGAUACCCUGGUAGUCCACGCUGUAAAACGAUGUCGA
rnacentral:rRNA from 1 species